GAAUUGAAGGAACACUUGCCCCUGUAGGGAUUAUGAGAGGUUAGCAGCAGAGUAUAGUUAAAACAAAAUAUGUUCGUGAACCAACGAACUGUUUAACUAGUACUGAAAAUGAAAUCAAUGCAGAUCAUAGUAGGCAUAGGUUUACGAAAGAAAAAGAGGAAUCAGUUUGUUGAUGUGUUUUGAGAAGAAUAAACGUGCUCUUAUAAUGAUGAAGAAAGUGUUAAUUAUUUAGUCUAACUCGAUUGAAAUUCUAAGGGAAGCGUGAUCGGGAAAGUGUCUGAAUUCGGCUACUUAAAAAGGUCUAGUCACUACAUGGCGCAUCUGCUCCCAGAGGUGGGAGAAAUAACGUGUGCAAAUCUGAGGACCUGUUAGGAAAUGUCCGUUUUUUGAUUUUGCUUGUUAAUUAGUGGGGAUUUGAAAAUGAAAUGGAUCCUGAAAUUAUCCGUUACAAUGAACAAUUUUCAGUGUUAUUUGCCUCAGGUGAUCGUGUGUUAAAUGGAUAUACCCAAUGAAGAAAGUAAUGCGUGCUUUGAAAAGAUUGACUCCAAGGAUUUUUUUCACGAGCAUGCACGUGGGUGACGAAAAACCGAAUGCUUGCAACCGUUUAUUAUAUCCUGUUUGUCUAAGGUAGGUGUUGUAAAAAAAAAACUUCGAUAAUGUGUGCGCUUAAAUAAUUAGUGAAGAUAAUGAGGAUUUUAUACAAAAUGGACCAAUGCAAGCGUUCACUGUUUGAAGUUUUAGCGGUGCCGUGUGGCCAUGGCAACCACUGAAUAUGGCGACACUCAAACGCCAAUUUAGUAAACACGUGCAUUUAUUAAUACUGCAAGUAUCACGGUCUACUAUGUUAAUAAAAAAAGGUACAAAUGUUUGAUUCCUGACACUAGUUGACCAAAACAACCCAACAAUGAUUGGACAAAUAACUUCCGCUCACUUAAUAACCAACUGUAUUCUGUCAAUGCGAGCAGCGUUGUGAGCUUUUUGAAGUUUAUAUGGUCGAGUAUUUGACAGAAAAUGCAAGUCCCCUGAGAGGGUAAGUUACAAAUGACAGAAAAUGCAAGUCUCCUGAGAGGGUAAGUUACAAAAGAGCAAGUUAGUUAGAAAAACGAGUCCCCUGAAAGGGUAGCUAACAGAAAGUGAGUCCCCUGAGAGGGUAAGUCCCCUGAGAGCGUAAGGUACAAAAGAGAAAGAGAUUUAGAAAAGCGAGUCCCCUGAGAGGGUAGCUAACAGAAAGUGAGUCCACUGAGAGGGUAAAUGACAGAAAAUGCAAGUCCCCUGAGAGGGUAAGUUACAAAAAAGCAAGUUAGUUUGCAAAGCGAGUCCCCUGAGAGGGUACUUAACAAAAAGUGAGUCCUCUGAGAGGGUAAGCUAAGAAAAUUUCAAGUCCCCUGAGAGGGUAAGUUACAAACGAGCAAGUUAGUUAGAAAAGCGAGUCCCAUGAGAAAGUAGCUAACAGAAAGUGAUUCCCUUGAGAGGGUAUGCUAAGAAAAUUUCAAGUCCCCUGAGAGGGUAAGGUACAAAAGAGCAAGAGAUUUAGAAAAGCGAGUCCCCUGAGAGGGUAGCUAACAGAAAGUAAGUCCCCUGAGAGGGUAAGCUAAGCAAAUUUCAAGUCCCCUGAGAGGGUAAGGUACAAAAGAGCAAGAGAUUAAGAAAAGUGAGUCCCCUGAGAGGGUAAGCUAAGAAAAUUUCAAGUCCCCUGAGAGGGUGAGGUACAAAAGAGCAAGAGAUUUAGAAAAGCGAGUCCCCUGAGAGGGUAGCUAACAGAAAGUGAGUUUCCCGAGAGGGCUGUUUUUGUUCAAAGCGGGUUUCCUGAAAAAGAAUCUGAUAAAAGUAAGUCCCCUGAGAGGUUAACUGGCAAAAUAGAUUUUUUUUUAGAGAGUUACUAUGAAAAGCGUGUAUUUUGAGAGGAUAGUUAACACAAACUUUAAAGAGACUAUAAGCUACAUAAAAUAUACCUAACACAAAUUGUAUAUAAUGAGAGGGUAAUUUAGAUAAAGUGAGUAUCGUGAAAGGGAAGUGGAGAAAAACGAGACUUGUAAAAAGAUAACAUAAAUAAUGCGAAUACCCGAAUUGUUAAGUGCCAAAGUGAGUUUUCUGACAUAGUCACUGUUAAAGCGAGAGCCCUGAGGGAAUAGCUAUCACAAAACAAUUCUUCGAAGUAAGUAAUCCUAAACAGCGGGUACUCUGAGAAAAUAUCUUACAGAAAGCGAGUUUCUAUUUUUCCGAAGUAGCAUGUAAAAAAUAAAUAAUCAGAAAAAUAUGAUUAGAAUGUAUAAAGCGAUUUAUGCUAUUGAAACUUUAGAAUAUUUCGAUCUCUUACACUCACUUUAAUGUUAUGAGCAUGGAACACUUUUGCCACAGUAGUAUUUUUGUAACAUAUAUAGCCAGUAACACAGAAUCAGAAUAGGGUAAAGAGCGUAAAAAACACUCUUUUCAAAGUAGUACCCAGUA